rnacentral:misc_RNA from 1 species
GUGAAUUCUGAUUGAAGAUGCCCUGUUAGGAAGUUUGUUGCUCCAAAAACAGGCUUUUCCAGAUUUUCUCAUUUCCUGAAGCUUUUCGCCAUUGGCAUCUAAUCAACUCAAUGACCAUGUUUUUAAAUUGCGUGUGAAGCUUUAUCAAAAUCUCCUCGAAUUUGGUUGCAGCAGAGCACAUAGUCCUGAAACAAGCCUAAAUAGUAUAUAUAUAUAUGAUUCUUAGGUGGGUCAAGCUUAUCAAGAAUGUGGGGUAGGACUGAUUCAACUUAAUUUGCUUGAGAACUGACACUGGCCUUGUUUUAGGCCAUGUUUGCUUGGUUAAGUUUUUUAUUUUUAUGACUCUAUUAUCACUUGGAUAUUCGGACUAUGUCACUUAGGCUGCUUGAAUUGUGUUGGAAAGUGAUACGAUGUCAUUUGGCUUUGGGUACAAGUUCCAGUUCUUGGGAUAAGACCUUGCUGUUACAGUAAGUUGCACUUGGCAAGAAUUGAGAGAGAGAUAGAUGAUUAAGCCAUGUGUAUGGAUCAGUUAUAUUAGCUGUGAUUCUUGAGAUUGUAAUCAUUCUAGAAUUUUG